GUCGGGAGUUAGGAAAUGCAAGGAUGUUAGUAGCAUCUUUGCUUGACUAAGGCUCCGGAGGAAGCCACGGCUAACUCUGUGCCAGCAGCCGCGGUAAUACAGAGGCGGCAAGCGUUGUUCGGAAUUAUUGGGCGUAAAGAGCACGUAGGCGGCCGUGUAAGUCGGUUGUGAAAGCCUUCCGCUCAACGGGAGAACGGCAUCCGAUACUGCAUGGCUCGAGUGCGGGAGGGGAGAGUGGAACUUCUGG
rnacentral:rRNA from 1 species